rnacentral:misc_RNA from 1 species
GGAUUAUUGAAUAUCUUACGAGUAAAGACUCCAUCUUCACUUUAUUGAGGUUUCAUUUCAGCAUCCUUCAACUUGAUCGCUAUAAGCCAAGCCAAACCAUGUACAGUAAUACUCCAGAAGAGGAGGAGGAGACUUCCGUUGACUGCUUCAGCGAUGGCUUCGAUGAUGCUUAUUUCGACGAUGCCCUUAGCACUGAUGAUCUCUUCUUGGAAUCUAAUUGUGAUCAUCAUCAUGAUCACGAUGCCAAUCAUUCCAACCAUCUUAUUACUAAGCAUCAAAAUUACAGGAUCCUCAAGGAAGAUGAUAUCCGUCAACGCAUGGAGGAUGAACUUGCUCAAGUCUCCUCUGUGCUUUCUCUUCCAAAACCUGAGGCAAGUAUCUUACUCUGCUUCUUCAAUUGGUCCCUCACUAAACUCCAUGAUUCUUGGUUUUCUGAUGAGUUCGCUGUCCGUGAAAAAGUGGGCUUGCUUCAGAAAACACUUUUGCUUCCCGAAAUUUUCUCAAUUGAUUCUGCAAUUAUCACUUGUGGGAUUUGUUUCGAUUCCUACCCCCCUGAUAGGAUCAGCUCCGCUGCCUGUGGCCACCCUUAUUGUAACGAUUGCUGGUCUAGUUAUAUAAGCACUUCUAUUAAUAAUGAUGGUCUUGGGUGUUUGAUGCUCAGAUGUCCUGACCCAUCUUGUCGUGUCGCCGUGGGUCAGGACAUGAUCGACUCAUUGGUGUCCAAAGAUGAUAGAAACAAGUAUGCUCGGUGCCUUGUUAGGUCUUACAUCCAAGAAAAGAGGAAGAUAAAGUGGUGUCCUGGUCGAGACUGUGAUUGUGCUAUUGAGUUUUUUGAUGGGGAUAAAAGCUUUGAUGUUUCUUGUCUAUGUUUUACUAGUUUUUGCUGGAAUUGCGAUGAGGAAAGUCACCGUCCUGUGGAUUGUGAGACUGUGAAGAAGUGGAUUUCCAAGAACCAGUCGGAGUCUGAAAACGUUAAUUACAUACUAACCUACUGCAAGCCUUGUCCUAACUGCAGGAGACCAAUCGAAAAGAAUGAUGGUUGUAUGCACAUGACUUGCAGGGUCUGUAGACAUAGCUUUUGCUGGUUAUGUCUUGCUUCGUAUGAAAAUCAUAGACAAUGUAAUGGAUAUCUGGAUAAUGUAGUGAGGAAAAAGGAGAUGGCAAAGCAAUCUUUAGAGAAAUAUACACAUUAUUUUGAGCGAUGGGAUGCCAAUCGAAAGUCGAAACUAAAAGCACUUGCAGAUUUUCAACACGUGAAAAAUGUGAAAUUCAAGAAGCUUAGUGAGAUACAAGGCAUACCUGAAGACAACUUGGAUUUCAUAACAAAGGCAUGGCUGCAGGUGGUUGAAUGUAGGCGAGUGCUGGAAUGGAGUUAUGCAUAUGGAUACUACCUGCCUGAAAAUGAGCUUGCUAAGAAACAGUUUUUUGAGUACUUGCAAGGGGAGGCAGAGUCUGGACUGGAAAAACUUCAUAAUUGUGCGGAGAAAGAGCUGGAACAGUUUCUUGAUUCUGAUGGUCUAUCAAAGGAUUUCAUUAAAUUCCGGACAAUGCUACUUGGCCUUACCACUGUAACUGGAAAUUACUUUGAGAAGCUGGUAAUAGCAUUGGAGAAUGGCCUAUCUGAUGUGGUCUCCCAUGAGGCAAGCAGCUCGAGGGAUGAAGUAGAAGAUUAUUGGUUUUGUGAUCUUUGCACUUAUGCCAAUCCUGUGUCUGUCCUGGAAUGCCAGAUGUGCGUCGUGCUUGAUGAAGAUGAAGUUUAGAGAUAGAGAUUCUUCUGUAUACUCAUGUGCGCAACUUAGGCUAGCUCAGUGCUCUGUAGUCUCACUCAUCAAUUUGCCAAACAGGUUUAGGAAUAACUUGUGCCUUUGUUACUGAUUAUAUAUAUAUAUAGUCAGACUUGACAGCAAAUAACAUCAUUUCUAUUUUGAAACUCGUCAUAUUAAAAAUAUCGUUCUUAAUUCUGUCUAGA